UAGCCGAUGUUCUGUUAUCUCCUUUUUUCUUCCCUAGGUUCACAGCAUCUUGCAAGAGGAGUUUUUUUACCUUUUGGGAUCUCAGUCAAGAAAUGUACUUAUUAUGUAAACCUAAUUUGGUUGAGUAGUCACCUCUCCUCAACACAGAUCAAAUUCUUGCUUGGGAACUGACACCAGCCUAACUCCUGCAGAGAUCUUGGUAUGAUGUCAACUCCAUCCCAUGCCACUAAUAUUUUUUAGGGACUCAAGCCUCAGAUUUUCUGCCUUGGCACUAUCUGGCCCUAGCAAUUGGUUGAGGCAUAGGCACAUGACAAUUCUUGCUACAGUCUUACUUGGUAAUUGUUAGGAAGUAAGGCCCUUCAUUCCAAAAAGAGUCAUCCUGAAAGUAGAGCUCUCAUUUCCACUAAACUGAAAAAUGAACAGACAUGAAGAAACAGACAUCUUGCC
rnacentral:lncRNA from 1 species